GACGAACGCUGGCGGCGUGCUUAACACAUGCAAGUCGAACGGAAAGGCCUCUUUCGGGGGGUACUCGAGUGGCGAACGGGUGAGUAACACGUGAGUAACCUGCCCUUGACUUUGGGAUAACUUCAGGAAACUGGGGCUAAUACCGGAUAGGAGCUCCUGCUGCAUGGUGGGGGUUGGAAAGUUUCGGCGGUUGGGGAUGGACUCGCGGCUUAUCAGCUUGUUGGUGGGGUAGUGGCUUACCAAGGCUUUGACGGGUAGCCGGCCUGAGAGGGUGACCGGCCAGAUUGGGACUGAAAAGCGGCCCAAACUCCUAGGGGAAGGAAGGGUGGGGAAAAUUGAACGAUGGGAGGAGGCCGGAUGCAGCAACGCCGGGGGCGGGAUGGCGGCCUUGGGGUUGAAAACCAGUUUCGCUCAUGACGAAAAUUUUUGGGGGGAGAGUGGGUAAAGAAGCACCGGCUAACUGGGU
rnacentral:rRNA from 1 species